rnacentral:lncRNA from 13 species
GCUACGCAGGGGACACGGGACGGAUCAGCUCCGGAACGAAUCGGCAUUGCGACUCGUUAAACAGAACGCAGCGGACGGGGAAUGAUAGAUCGGAACCGGAGCAAAUGGCGUCGCGACACUUGUUUAACAGAAUGCGGCGAACGCAAGACGGAUCGGGACCAGAGUGAGCGACGCGUGGUGUCGCGACGUACCUCGUUUAAGAAUUCCAAUAUUAUACAUCGUGGGAGUGUAAUCUGAAGAGAAGAUUUGAUAACUCGAAAAUACGAGUAGGAAAAGAGACCAGAGAGAUAUCGAGCGUCGGUGGAGCAACUUUGCGAUUCAUCGUAGCUACGUGACAUAACUCCACUGUUGCGCAUCGGUCGAUUAAUGAAAAGUAAGACCAAUCUGGCCAAACGAGGGGCGGAGGGCAGAAAAAGGAAAAAAUUCAUUAGAGAUAGUCGAUGCCAACUAAAAGUUUGCCGGACUUAUUCUUUCCAUAAAGCUGACGUAUACUUGUCGACGAUUUGAGUAAAAAUAAACGAACCGCAAUCGGUUCGUCGCGUCGCGCGUUUGUUCCGGGAGUGUCGUUUAAAGUAAUUGGACUUAAUUAGUCCACGGACGUAAUUUUAAUGUAUUUAACGCGAGUGUUCCGCGAGUGCAAUGGAACGAGAAAGCUCGACAAUCCAGAUCUGAGGGGAGGAGAAGGCCUGGGAGAGGCAUCGGGCCUCAGCGGAGCAACCUUGGGUAUCAUCGCAGCUUCGUGGCUGAAUAACUCCGCUCGUUGCGC